UACGAAGGGGGCUAGCGUUGCUCGGAAUUACUGGGCGUAAAGCGCACGUAGGCGGCUUUCUAAGUCGGGGGUGAAAUCCUGGAGCUCAACUCCAGAACUGCCUUCGAUACUGGAAAGCUCGAGUCCGGGAGAGGUGAGUGGAACUGCGAGUGUAGAGGUGAAAUUCGUAGAUAUUCGCAAGAACACCAGUGGCGAAGGCGGCUCACUGGCCCGGUACUGACGCCGAGGUGCGAAAGCGUGGGGAGCAAACAGG
rnacentral:rRNA from 1 species